UCUCAUGGUCUAGUGGAUAGGACUUGGUGCUUUCACCUCUGCAGGCCAGGUUCAAUCCCUGGCAUGGGAA
rnacentral:tRNA from 1 species